GGUGGACGGGUGAGUAACGCGUGAGAAUCUGCCUUUAGGACGGGGACAACAGUUGGAAACGGCUGCUAAAACCCGAUGUGCCCUUCGGGGUGAAAUAUUUAUAGCCUGAAGAUGAGCUCGCGUCUGAUUAGCUAGUAGGUGCGGUAAUGGCGUACCUAGGCGACGAUCAGUAACUGGUCUGAGAGGAUGACCAGUCACACUGGGACUGAGACACGGCCCAG
rnacentral:rRNA from 1 species